UGGUUGAUGUAUGGUUACAAAAAUAUUUUUUGGCAUAUAUUGAUCUCGUUGGUUUAAUGUAUCUCUGAAAUAAUUUUAUUGGAAAUGUCUGUUCAUCCAGGAAGUUCACAUUGAUCACAGCAUGAAGGAUAACAACCCCAUGGACCAUGUCUAUUUCUACAGCAAGCAUGAUCCCAAGAAAGUCUCCCCAAUGACUGAUCAGAUGUUUCUGCCAAUGACGUUUUAUGAAAGGCUGUUUAGAGUGUACUAUAAAGGCCCAGAAGAAAAGGUGAAAGAAGCCCAGCAGUGUUUUGAGACGUGGCACAAUCAUUCGUUUUUAACCAAUGUCUGAGAUCUUUUCAUUGAGGAACAGCACUUCCAGGAUAAAGUAUACAUGUGUAGUGCUGACUGUCCUAAUUUCAGGCAGGUAGCUGGAUUGGAGCACUAUUGUUCCAGCUGUGUAGAGAGUGGGACCUGGGUGUUGAAUGAGAUCUCCAACGACACUGGCAUGCAAAUAUAUGACUUUGCAAUGAUUUUAUUUCAUUUAUUUUUUCUAUUUAAUGUUUUUUUAAUUAAUCCGACAUCCAUUGUUUCUUCUUACCAAAUAUUAAGACAUACACAGAAAUGCCAAUACGGUGAUUAGUUUAGUUACAAUAACUAGUUUAGCUGAAAUGAAUGUUUUAGUUCCUUCUUUACAUAUACAGUAGGAUAUUUUGACAUUAUGGCUGAUUUAUAUCAUUGCAUUAGUAGCUCUAUUUGCUUGUUUUUGUUUGUAAUUAUUCACUCAAUGAUGUAUAGGGAUAAAUACUUGA